ensembl:lncRNA
GUUUUAAUGUGUGGAUGGGAGUGUUUUAAUGUGUGGAUGGGAGUGUUUUAAUGUGUGGAUGGGGGUGUUUUAAUGUGUGGAUGGGAGUGUUUUAAUGUGUGGAUGGGAGGAUGGGAGUGCUUUAAUGUGUGGAUGGGAGUGUUUUAAUGUGUGGAUGGGAGGAUGGGAGUGUUUUAAUGUGUGGAUGGGAGUGUUUUAAUGUGUGGAUGGGAGUGUUUUAAUGUGUGGAUGGGAGUGUUUUAAUGUGUGGAUGGGAGGAUGGGAGGAUGGGAGUGUUUUAAUGUGUGGAUGGGAGGAUGGGAGGAUGGGAGUGUUUUUAUGUGUGGAUGGGAGGAUGGGAGUGUUUUAAUGUGUGGAUGGGAGUGUUUUAAUGUGUGGUUGGGAGUGUUUUAAUGUGUGGAUGGGAGUGUUUUAAUGUGUGGAUGGGAGUGUUUUAAUGUGUGGAUGGGAGGUUGGCAGGUUGAGAGUGUUUUAAUGUGUGGAUCGGAGGUUGGCAGGUUGGGAGUGUUUUAUAAUGUGUGGAUGGGAGUUUGGCGGGUUUGGAGUGUUUUAAUGUGUGGAUGGCAGGUUGGGAGUGUUUUAAUGUGUGGAUGGGAGUGUUUUAAUGUGUGGGUGGGAGUGUUUUAAUGUGUGGAUGGGAGGUUGGCAGGUUGAGAGUGUUUUAAUGUGUGGAUCGGAGGUUGGCAGGUUGGGAGUGUUUAAUAACGUGUGGAUGGGAGUUUGGCAGGUUGGAAGUGUUUUAAUGUGUGGAUGGCAGGUUGGGAGUGUUUUAAUGUGUGGAUGGGAGGUUGGGAGUGUUUUAAUGUGUGGAUGGCAGGUUGGGAGUGUUUUAAUGUGUGGAUGGGAGGUUGGCAGGUUGGUAGUGUUUUAAUGUGUGGAUGGGAGGUUGGCAGGUUGGUAGUGUUUUAAUGUGUGGAUGGCAGGUUGGGAGUGUUUUAAUGUGUGGAUUGCAGGUUGGGAGCGUGUUUAUGUGUGUGUAUGUCUGUGUGUGGCUACAGUCCCCUCUCUCUUAGCUUAGUGUUGGUAUGUCCAGUACCUUAGUGCUAUUUCACUCUGUAUUCUACC